GACGAACGCUGGCGGCGUGCUUAACACAUGCAAGUCGAACGAUGAACCCGGAGCUUGCUCCGGUGGAUUAGUGGCGAACGGGUGAGUAACACGUGAGUAACCUGCCCUUGACUCUGGGAUAACUGCGGGAAACUGUAGCUAAUACCGGAUACGACCCUCGGCGGCAUCGCCAGGGGGUGGAAAGAAUUUCGGUCAAGGAUGGACUCGCGGCCUAUCGGCUAGUUGGUGAGGUAACGGCUCACCAAGGCGACGACGGGUAGCCGGCCUGAGAGGGUGACCGGCCACACUGGGACUGAGAAACGGCCCAGACUCCUACGGGAGGCAGCAGUGGGGAAUAUUGCACAAUGGGCGCAAGCCUGAUGCAGCAACGCCGCGUGAGGGAUGACGGCCUUCGGGUUGUAAACCUCUUUUAGCAGGGAAGAAGCGAAAGUGACGGUGCCUGCAGAAAAAGCACCGGCUAACUACGUGCCAGCCGCCGCCGUAA
rnacentral:rRNA from 1 species